rnacentral:rRNA from 1 species
AGAGUUUGAUCCUGGCUCAGGAUGAACGCUAGCGGCAGGCUUAAUACAUGCAAGUCGUGGGGCAGCAGGGGUAGCAAUACCCGCUGGCGACCGGCAAACGGGUGCGGAACACGUACGCAACCUCCCUUUAACUGGAGAAUAGCCCCUCGAAAGAGGGAUUAAUACUCCGUAACAUAUACAUGUGGCAUCACAAGUAUAUUAUAGCUCCGGCGGUUAAAGAUGGGCGUGCGCCUGACUAGAUAGUUGGCGGGGUAACGGCCCACCAAGUCUGCGAUCAGUAACUGGUGUGAGAGCACGACCAGUCACACGGGCACUGAGACACGGGCCCGACUCCUACGGGAGGCAGCAGUAAGGAAUAUUGGUCAAUGGACGCAAGUCUGAACCAGCCAUGCCGCGUGGAGGAUUAAGGCCCUCUGGGUUGUAAACUCCUUUUAUCUGGGA